GCAGAAAUGUACGGAACAGUGAGUGCGAUAGAGUUCAGAAAAAGGAGAAACGAAUACAGGGUGUUCUGACUAGGAGAGGCUUUGCUAGCUGGACAGACAAUCUGGGCAGUAUUUUGAAAAGAGAAUGAAAAAGAAAUUUUUAAUGUGGAAACAACAGAGCCAAAGGUAUAAAAGGACAUAGGGUGCUUGGGGGAGGCAGUAGAUUGUAUGGUGGCCUCCCAAAAGACAGGUCCACCUGGAAUCUGUGAAGGUGACUUUAUUUGGAAAAAAGGUCUUUGCAGCUGUAAUCGAGUUAAGGAUCUUGAGAUGAGAGCAUCCUGGAUUAGAGUGGGUCCUAAGUCCUUAGAAGAGAAGACAGACAGGAAGAAGGCCAUGUGAAGACAGCGGCAGAGUUUGGAGUGAUGUGCCUUCCAGCCAAGGAACACCAGGAUUGCCUGCAGCCACCAGAAGCUGGAAGAAGCAGUGAAGGAUUCUCUCUAGACCCUUCAGACGGAACAGCUGCUGACACCUCAAUUUCAGAAUUCUGGCCUCCAGAACUACACACAAGUGGAGAAGAUAAAUAGUAAUUUGGAACCAAAACUCAGGACGUCCCAGGAGAGGCUAGAUUAGGAAUUCUUUGAUUUGGGAUCACGAAAAUGAAGUAUCCAUAUUUUAACAGAAUGAUUAGUGGCAGAGGAAUCAUCUAAGAAAACUGAGAAGACUCUGCCAGAGUGAUGGGAAGAAAACUAGAUGAGAAAGCACCAUUCUGGAAGACAUGCUCCCAUGAACCAUGGAGAGAAGAGGAGAGGGAAGAAGUUAUUUGUGAUGUCAUUUGCCUGUGUCAUGGCCUGCCUUCCCUAGAUAUUGUCCUAAUGUGAGCAUCACACCUAAGGUACUGAAGUAGAGUUCUGGCUGUUCCUUACGGACAUCUCUGGUGCUACCGUGUGAAAAAGGACAUGUUUGCUUCCCCUUCUGCCAUAAUUGUAAGUUUCCUGAGGCCUCCCCAGCCAUGCAGAACUGUG
rnacentral:lncRNA from 10 species